UGAAACCGUCAUAUUUCGUUUGUGGAUCUUGCUUCCCAUAGAAAUAUGCCAUGUUUUUUCAUCUAAAGCAGAGCCAGUGGUGCAAAAGAGGUUAGAUUUUGUUUUUAUUUGAAUUUAUGCUCGCUUUGUAAUUCCGUUUUCCUUUCUAAUUGGCAUCUGUUCGUGUGCCUACGGUUCGAUGUUGGUAUGAUAUUGUUAUUUGCAAAUGCACUGCAAGAAGGUGCAAUGAACAAAAUAUUUGUGAAUAUGCCAAAGCCUCAUGAUGUAUACUCAUGUGGUUUAUUAUGUCCUCAAAAAGCCUCCCUGGAACCUGGUCUGUUAGAUGAAUAUUUGAGAAGGGCAGUGAGAAUUGUUUGGUUGCAGUGCAUACCUAUAUAGUGUGUUGCCUUUGCUUAGGUUCCUUUUGUAAAGGAUUAAUUAAUUGAUCAAUUGGAAUUUUCAACUCUCGAAAGUCUGGCCAACCUAGAACCAGGUCCGUGAAAAGGUGGUAUAUCAAUUGGAAUUAUGAGUCCUUACCAUCUGAAGGGGACUUUCUUAGCCUUAAGUGGGUAUUGUGGUAUAUCUGAUAGACAUGUCUUGAAGAGUUGUAUUUUUUUUUCCUAUAUAGCUAUGCUGCAUAGCAAAACUGAAAUUUAUUAUGAGAGUUUCUUAUCGGAGAUGACCGCUAUAAGAAAGGCAGGUACGUUUGCAGACAGAUAAUAUGAUCGUUCACUCCACAAUGUUCUGUCUGCUUCUUUUUGGGGCAAAAUAAACUCAAACUCAAGUAUUUCCCUCGCUUGCUUUAUUGUGUUACAUGAUACGAUGAUGGAUACGUGCCAGUUCAUGUUUUACACACGACAGAUAAUCUGACCUUUGCUUAACCGGUUUCAAACAGAGAUGUAUAUGUGAUAUAGCACAAACAUGUGUUGUUUAUGCUGCUGGUUUUGAAGUUCAGUGCUUGGCUUUGGUCCAAGGUCUGGGUCAACCAUGGGUAGACUUUCUAUUUUAACUAAUUAUUUUCACCAUGUGAUUAAUGACACUAUUGAAUUUGUAAAAUACCAGAAAAGAAGUGAGCCAUUUAUUAUUUGCCAUGCUGAUAAAUUUAAACAUUUGCCAUGUCCCAAUACAUGAUGACAUGUAGUUGGAGAUUUAAAAAAAUAAUUUCAUUGGAAGUCUGAACAUGCUUUCAAUCAUAUUUCCAUCUUUCAGAUAUACUUUUUUAGAGAGUAAAACAACGACAAUACCAAAAGCAAUUCCCAGGAGUCUUAGUGCAGAAUUAUAGUUCACAGCUUUUGCCAAUUUUGUACCAAGUUCUGCUGUAAACUUAAAAACUAUACUCUGAGACAGUUCAGGUUUAACGCUAUUGUUACAUGAUACGACGGUAUGUUAUAUUCCUUUUGCAUGCACUACUAUACCAGAUAAUCCACACUUUUGGUUCAGCAGGUGCGGCAACAUCUCUUUUUUUGAACAAGUAUACUGUUAUCAUGGAGAAGGCACAGUAUCUUCAUGGAAUAACAAAAAGAUUACAGCAAGUAGGACCUUGGUGAAGUUAUCACAUCUGUGCUCCAGAUCAAGAUGCUGCCAUUGCGACUGAUGGACUUGACCAACCUCUAUGUUGUAUAUCAGUGUAGUAUUUUAUUUUUGUUAGAGACCCUUUCCAUGAACUAUAUUGUAAGUUGCUACAUUAUGUUGAAUUGUAGUAUGCCAGACUAUUGCUCUCUAUAACCUUAA